rnacentral:lncRNA from 1 species
AAAAAAUACCGGAGAUAUUCUAUGCGAAUUGUACGAACCGUCAAUUAGUAAGGAAUUACGUGCUGAGAUCCGUGAUUUUAUUAUACAACUUAUACAAAAUCCACUUUUAUUAACAACCUGUGGUUUUUUUAAUCUCGAUUAUACAUUGAUAAGUAACGUAAUCAGUACUGUUACAACUUAUCUCGUUAUUCUCAUUCAAGUUGGAGACAAACCAGCGCAAUUCUAUCCAAAUUCUACGUUAU